GGUGGGCCACUGCCUGACUUCCCCAACCAUUCACUCACCCUUAAAAAGGACAAGGCCCCCAAGUCCUCUUUUAUUGGUGAUGGGGACAUCUUUAAGAAACUGGACUCUGAGCUGAGCCGGGCCCAGGAGAAGGCUCUGGACACGAGCUACGUGAUCCUGCCCACGGCCACGGCCACACUCCGGCCCAAACCCAAGGAGGAACCCAAAUACAGCAUCAACAUUGACCAGAUGCCCCAAACCCGACUCAUCCACCUUAGCAUGGCGCCCGACGCCAGCUUCCCUACCCGAAGCCCACCUGCCCGUGAGCCCCCAGGUGGUGCACCCCCUGAGGUGCCCCCUGUCCAGCCACCACCACCACCUCCACCACCCCCUCCACCCCAACAGCCCAUACCCCCACCACCCUCCCUGGAGCCUGCACCUCCCAGCCUGGGGGACACAGGGGAGCCUUCGGCCCACCCAGGACCCAGUUCAGGUGCUGGGACCAAGAAUGAGAACGUGGCCACCUUGUCAGUGAGCUCCUUGGAGCGGCGGAAAUCACGGUAUGCAGAACUGGACUUCGAGAAGAUCAUGCACACACGGAAGCGACACCAGGACAUGUUCCAGGACCUGAACCGGAAGCUGCAGCAUGCGGCUGAGAAGGAGAAGGAGGUGCCAGGCGUAGACAACAAGGUCAGAAGCAUGGUCUC
rnacentral:lncRNA from 1 species